rnacentral:rRNA from 1 species
UGGUGGAGUGAUUUGUCUGGUUAAUUCCGAUAACGAACGAGACCUUAACCUGCUAAAUAGUUGGCGUAUGUUUUCAUAUGACCAACUUCUUAGAGGGACUAACUACUUUUAUGGUUGGAAGUUUGAGGCAAUAACA